CGGUGUUUAACUGGCGUGAUGUGGGACGUCCUACCGGUGGGCUUAGCCUCGCGAGGGGCGGCCCAACUAAUAUCCCGUCGCGGUGCUCUUUACUGAGUGUCGAGUCGGGCCGGUACGUUUACUUUGAACAAAUUAGAGUGCUUAAAGCAGGCUAUCCUCGCCUGAAUACUGCGUGCAUGGAAUGAUGGAAUAGGACCUCGGUUCUAUUUUGUUGGUUUUCGGAACCCCGAGGUAAUGAUUAAUAGGGACAGAUGGGGGCAUUCGUAUUGCGACGUUAGAGGUGAAAUUCUUGGAUCGUCGCAAGACGGACAGAAGCGAAAGCAUUUGCCAAAAAUGUUUUCAUUAAUCAAGAACGAAAGUUAGAGGUUCGAAGGCGAUCAGAUACCGCCCUAGUUCUAACCAUAAACGAUGCCAGCUAGCGAUCCGCCGAAGUUCCUCCGAUGACUCGGCGGGCAGCUUCCGGGAAACCAAAGCUUUUGGGUUCCGGGGGAAGUAUGGUUGCAAAGCUGAAACUUAAAGGAAUUGACGGAAGGGCACCACCAGGAGUGGAGCCUGCGGCUUAAUUUGACUCAACACGGGAAACCUCACCAGGCCCAGACACCGGAAGGAUUGACAGAUUGAUAGCUCUUUCUUGAUUCGGUGGGUGGUGGUGCAUGGCCGUUCUUAGUUGGUGGAGCGAUUUGUCUGGUUAAUUCCGAUAACGAACGAGACUCUAGCCUGCUAAAUAGGCGUACCUUAUGGUAUCGCGAAGGCCCCCGGCUUCGGCCGGUGGGUUUUUACUACCAACGUACAAACAAAUCUUCUUAGAGGGACAGGCGG
rnacentral:rRNA from 1 species